UAGUUUGAUCCUGGCUCAGGAUGAACGCUGGCGGCGCGCCUAACACAUGCAAGUCGAACGGCACCUAUCUUCGGAUAGAAGCGAGUGGCGAACGGCUGAGUAACACGUGGAGAACCUGCCCCCUCCCCCGGGAUAGCCGCCCGAAAGGACGGGUAAUACCGGAUACCCCGGGGUGCCGCAUGGCGCCCCGGCUAAAGCCCCGACGGGAGGGGAUGGCUCCGCGGCCCAUCAGGUAGACGGCGGGGUGACGGCCCACCGUGCCGACAACGGGUAGCCGGGUUGAGAGACCGACCGGCCAGAUUGGGACUGAGACACGGCCCAGACUCCUACGGGAGGCAGCAGUGGGGAAUCUUGCGCAAUGGGGGGAACCCUGACGCAGCGACGCCGCGUGCGGGACGGAGGCCUUCGGGUCGUAAACCGCUUUCAGCAGGGAAGAGUCAAGACUGUACCUGCAGAAGAAGCCCCGGCUAACUACGUGCCAGCCGCCGCGGUAAUUC
rnacentral:rRNA from 1 species